rnacentral:tRNA from 1 species
UGUCGGAGUAGAGUAGCCCGGUAGCUCGCCAGCCUCAUAAGCUGGAGGCCGGAGGUUCAAAUCCUGCCUCCGCAA